rnacentral:rRNA from 1 species
GGUUAGUCGGUCCCUAAGGCGAGGCUGAAAAGCGUAGUCGAUGGAAAACAGGUUAAUAUUCCUGUACUUCUGGUUAUUGCGAUGGAGGGACGGAGAAGGCUAGGCCAGCUUGGCGUUGGUUGUCCAAGUUUAAGGUGGUAGGCUGGAAUCUUAGGUAAAUCCGGGAUUCUAAGGCCGAGAGCUGAUGACGAGUUACCUUUUAGGUAACGAAGUGGUUGAUGCCAUGCUUCCAAGAAAAGCUUCUAAGCUUCAGGUAACCAGGAACCGUACCCCAAACCGACACAGGUGGUUGGGUAGAGAAUACCAAGGCGCUUGAGAGAACUCGGGUGAAGGAACUAGGCAG